UCCCUCUCGUCGUUGUUGCGCAGGUCUGUGCCCUCCACCCUACACUCCACCGGCAGCUCCUUGUUGUAGUCCUCCUUGGUGAGCAGCAGCUUCACAGCCACCAGAGGCUGGACGUAAGACUCCUGCAUCGGUAAAGAGACAGCCGUCGUGUAGGGAGAGAGU